AGUCAGCUGUAGCAGUGAAAUAAAACACAGCCCUGGACCGAAACCUGGGACCCUGAGACUGGAACAGCCAGAUAUUAUGUCUGAUUCGAACGUCCAGUCCAAGAAGGCCGGCAUUCGGGCUGCUGUCAUCCUCAUUGGACUACUGCACAAGUCCAGGAGGCACAAGGAGAGAGAGAGGGAGAGAGAAAGGGAGAGGGAGAGAGAGAAGGAGCGGAAACAAGAGCUGCUGACCAUCUCAAGCGUUCCUCUGGGAGAAUGUCCACCAUCACCACCACGCACUGCACCACCCACUAUGAAGUCUGCCGAGUUCUUCGACAUGCUGGAGAGGAUGCAGGAUGACUACAUCCCGUACCCCCGGAUAGAGGACGUGCUGGAAAAGGGAGAACCGUACCCUCAAGUCAUCCUGCCCCAGUUUGGAGGUUACUGGAUCGAGGAUGCAGAGGCUCCUCUGGGCACGCCGACAUCCUCAGACAGUAGCUUCUGCGAGGAAGAGGAGAGCGAAGGCGCAGGACAUGGGGGAGAGCAAGGAGGAGGAGGAGCAGGAUUUGGAUUUAAGCUGGAGAGCAACAGCACAGCACGAGCAUACCGCAAACACUUUCUCGGAAGAGAGCACAUGAACUACUAUUGCAGUGGCAGUAGUUUGGGAAACCUCAUUAUGUCUUUAAAGCACGAAGAGGCUGAAGGUCAGGAAUUCCUUCGUAUUAUGCUCAGGUCAAAGAUAAAGACACUUCAUGACAGGAUUCCACUGGAGGGACUGCACCAGCUGCCCAGCGUUCCUCAGAUAGCCAAGCUGCUUUGUGAUGAUGUCACAGGUCUGAAGUUUAACCCUGUCCUUUACCCGAGGGCCUCUCAGCUGAUCGUCGGCUUCGAUGAGCACGAAGUCAAUAACACCUUCAAGUUCGGGGUUAUAUAUCAGAAGUUUGGGCAGACUUCUGAAGAAGAGUUAUUUGGGAAUAAUGAAGAGACGUCGGCAUUUUCCGAAUUUCUCAGUGUGCUGGGAGACAACAUAGAGCUGCAGGAUUUUAAAGGGUUCCGUGGAGGUCUGGACGUGUCUCAUGGACAAACAGGAACUCAGUCAGUGUACACUGUUUUCCGAAAUCGAGAAAUCAUGUUCCACGUAUCGACGAAACUUCCCUUCACGGAGGGAGACGUACAGCAGCUGCAGAGGAAAAGGCACAUCGGGAACGACAUCGUGGCUGCAGUUUUCCAGGAAGAACCCACUCCGUUCGUACCUGACAUGAUUGCGUCGAACUUCCUCCAUGCCUAUGUGUUAGUGCAGGCUGAAAACCCCUGCACUGAUCACACCACCUAUAAGGUUUCUGUCACAGCUCGAGAAGACGUCCCGCCGUUUGGCCCACCUCUUCCAAAUCCUGCUGUUUUUAAAAAGGGUCCCGAGUUCCGUGAAUUUCUACUCACAAAACUGAUUAACGCUGAGAACGCUUGCUACAAGUCUGACAAGUUUGCCAAGUUGGAGGGAAGGACGAGAGCAGCGCUCCUGGAUAAUCUUCAUGAUGAGCUGCAUAGACAGACCCAGGCCACGAUGGGAGUGGGUUCAGUCACAGGGGAGGACAAACUGGAGAACGGAGGUCAUGGAGGUCUACUGGAGUCCUUUAAGAGGGCCAUGCGGGUGAGGAGUCACUCCAUGGAGACGAUGGUGGGUUCUCACAAACACAAAGCUGCAGGAGGAGGCGUACCAUCUAGUAUGAGUGGAGGAGGGCUACCGCCCAGUAUGAGUGGAGGAGGACUACCGCAGAGCAGUGCUGAGUGCACAAAGAGUACCUUUACCCCUCCAGUGCUGUCGGCCAAGUCUCCUAUGAAGAGUCCAGUAAAACGGCGUUCAGGCCUGUUUCCCAGGUUACACUCGAGCACGGAGAGCCCUACUGAAAAACAUCCAUCCCGCAGUGAUCACAAAACAGCAGAUAUAUUCCCACACUCACAGGAAGUGAGGUCAGAGAAUUCAUCUAAUCCAAGCUCACCAGAGAUCUGCCCAAACAAGGAAAGGCCAUUUGUGAAGCUGAAGGAGUGUAACAGCCGAAGUAACAUCUCCCGCUCGUCCUCGAGCACCAGCAGCUUUAGCAGCACAGCUGGAGAAGGAGAUGGCCUGGAGGAGCUUGAUGUGACAGGAAAAGUAAAAUUUCACCUCAGUCAAACUUGAAGUUUCAUUUUGACAAGAUGACCCACAUGACGACAGGGCAUUGAGAUAGACAGGAGUGACGACAGAGAAAGAUCAGACAGUGUAGCUUAACUGGAUGGAAGAGACUUUCUGUCAAAGCGAGAAGGGACCAUCUGCUGAUCUGCUGUACGCAAUGCAACCACCUUCAUCACUGCUCCAACACACACCUUUAUAAACUGUACAAACACACACACACACACACAGAACAGACAAUGCCAAGAUGCCAAAGCAAGUUUUAGCAGAAGAGAAGGCCACAAACGAAACUGUUUGUUUAAAACCUGUAAAAGGUUCAGUUUAUGGUCAAAUGUAGCUGAUAAUGUACAAAAAUAAUGUGCAUAAAUCCAAACUUCAGAAGAGGCAUGUGAUGUAUUUGCUGUGUUCCUUGUGGUGACCUUGGCCUUGUGUUUUUUUUAAAUUUGAACUAUUUCAAUUGCGGUGACUUGUAUGUAAUACAUAAUGAUGAAACACAAGAUACUCAACAAUACAGCAAAGAUACAGCCGAGUCUAUUACAAGCCAUGAUGCAAAUACAGCUGAAAUGUAAUUUUUUUAGUAAGUGUGUGGCACUACACAGACUAUAGAUACUACUUCCUUGCCAAAUAUUAAAGGAACAGUCCACCGUAUUUCCAUAAUGAAAU